CCAGGAGAUGUGGAGAUGUCCCCAGGCAGAUUUCUGAUUUAUGGAUGGCUCUUGUCACACGCACACACAACCCUUAGACAUGCACGCACAAUGGUAAUGAGAAAAAAAAUGCUUAUGGCACAACAUUCAGUUCCUUGUAGAGCACUUUGAUACAGCACAGGAGAGUUGUGAGUCACUUCUGAGUAGCCAAAGGCUUGGUACAGGAUGGGGACUCAAGCUGUGUAAAAGCAACUGUGUAUUAGGUAUUGUCAGCAAAGACAUUGGGAUCGUGUGCCCUGACUUGUAACAGGCAGGAACCAGAGCAACAGCUUGGUACCUCAGCCCUUUGAGGACAGGGAACAAAAUGGUCUCCUUGAGUCAGAGGAGAUGGCCACGUGAGAAACCUGCGGGACAGCCAGGAGAGACGGAGAGACCCUGCACUGUGCCUUCCCUUCUGCCUGGAAAUCCCCUGCACAGCAGGAGGAUGGAGGGAGAGGGCACAGUCAAGGCUGCCCGGGAGGAGUCCACGUCCAUGUCCACAUCCAAGUCCAAAAAGGUUGGAUGAAUACUCUGGGUACCUUUAUCUAAUGUUGCUCUACCUCACUCUGAAGAAACAGCCUCUCACCUGUCUUAAAUGAUUGACUAGAAAGCAAAUGAGGCAGAUGGAAUUUUCCAACAGAGGAAAAAUGUGGUAGAGUAGUGCAUUCCUGGCCUGUCUAGUAGAAGCAAGGCUCCUUAUCACACUGACCACCACAACUCCCAUGCUGCCCAGUGACUUAUGGCUCAGUCUUGGCAAGGCUUUGAUGUUAUUGUCUUGACGACCAGGGCUGAACAAAACACCCAACAGACAAUUCUCCUC
rnacentral:lncRNA from 1 species